rnacentral:rRNA from 1 species
GAUGAACGCUGGCGGCGUGCUUAACACAUGCAAGUCGAACGAAGCACCUCUCCCGAAGAUUGACACAGCUUGCUGUAGAUUGAUUCAUUUGAGGUGACUGAGUGGCGGACGGGUGAGUAACGCGUGGGUAACCUGCCUCAUAGAGGGGGACAACAGUUGGAAACGACUGCUAAUACCGCAUAGUAAGAAAGAUUCGCAUGUUUCUUUCUUGAAAGAUUUAUCGCUAUGAGAUGGACCCGCGUCUGAUUAGCUAGUUGGUAAGGUAACGGCUUACCAAGGCGACGAUCAGUAGCCGGCUUGAGAGAGUGAACGGCCACAUUGGGACUGAGACACGGCCCAAACUCCUACGGGAGGCAGCAGUGGGGAAUAUUGCACAAUGGGGGAAACCCUGAUGCAGCGACGCCGCGUGAGUGAAGAAGUAUUUCGGUAUGUAAAGCUCUAUCAGCAGGGGAGAUAAUGA